rnacentral:rRNA from 1 species
AGUGAACGCUGGCGGUAGGCCUAACACAUGCAAGUCGAACGGCAGCACAGGAGAGCUUGCUCUCUGGGUGGCGAGUGGCGGACGGGUGAGGAAUACAUCGGAAUCUACUCUGUCGUGGGGGAUAACGUAGGGAAACUUACGCUAAUACCGCAUACGACCUACGGGUGAAAGCAGGGGACCUUCGGGCCUUGCGCGAUUGAAUGAGCCGAUGUCGGAUUAGCUAGUUGGCGGGGUAAAGGCCCACCAAGGCGACGAUCCGUAGCUGGUCUGAGAGGAUGAUCAGCCACACUGGAAAUGAGACACGGUCCAGACUCAUACGGGGGGCAGCAGUGGGGAAUAUUGGACAAUGGGCGCAAGCCUGAUCCAGCCAUACCGCGUGGGUGAAGAAGGCCUUCGGGUUGUAAAGCCCUUUUGUUGGGAAAGAAAUCCAGCUGGCUAAUACCCGGUUGGGAUGACGGUACCCAAAGAAUAAGCACCGGCUAACUUCGUGCCAGCAGCAGCCGCCG